rnacentral:rRNA from 1 species
ACUCACCUGGUCCGGACAUCGAUAGGAUUGACAGACAUAAUAGAUCUUUCAUGAUACGGUGGGUGGUGGUGCAUGGCCGUUCUUAGUUCGUGGAGCUGAUCUGUCAGGUCUAUUCCGGUAACGAACGAGACCACGUUCUUCAUUUGGGGAACUGCAGGACAAGUGCUGUGAAAGGCUAGUCACUGAUGGAUAAUGCAUCUCCCGGUGUGCUACUCAUUGGCCGUCGAGUCGGUUGCAGCAUUUGCACCUGUGGUGUGCGUACAGCAAUGUGCGUCCCUAUGGAGAGACAGCCGGAAUGUAAGGCGGAGGAAGCGUGGCAAUAACAGGUCUGUGAUGCCCUUCGAUGUUCAGGGCCGCACGCGCGCUACAAUGAUAACGACAACGAGAGUCUGGACUGAAAAGUUCUGGGUAAUCUUAUGAAUCGUUAUCGUGAUGGUGGAUUGAGCAUUGUAAUUGUUGCUCAUGAAAUAGGAAUCCCUUGUAUACGUGUCUCACUUAGGACACGUAGAAUGCGUCUCUGCCCUUUGUACACACCGCCCGUCGCUACUACCGAGUGAAUGGUGUCAUGAUGUCUUGGGACUGGACGUUGUUGGCAGUGAAAACUGCGGACGAUGCUAG